AGCAGAACGAACACAGAAAUAUAUGUUCAUCCAUUCCAAGAACAUCUAUUCAUUGUCAUACGAAUCUUUCAUGUCAAACAUGUUUGCUAUGCCAAAUGUGCCUUCAACAACAUCAGUUUUAUCAACCUACACUGCCUUUGCUGCAUCGGCAAUGCUUGUCAAGACCAUGCUCAAUGAGGUCCAGGCCAUGACUAGCCAACUAAUACCCCAGAAGCUCCAACAGAAAAUAUUGUCUAGCCUCGGAGGCCUUUUCAGGAAUUCUUGCCAGC
rnacentral:misc_RNA from 1 species